AUACGUAGGUUGCGAGCGUUGUCCGGAUUUACUGGGUGUAAAGGGCGUGUAGGCGGAGCUGCAAGUCAGAUGUGAAAUCCAUGGGCUCAACCCAUGAACUGCAUUUGAAACUGUAGCCCUUGAGUAUCGGAGAGGCAAGCGGAAUUCCUAGUGUAGCGGUGAAAUGCGUAGAUAUUAGGAGGAACACCAGUGGCGAAGGCGACUUGCUGGACAUUAACUGACGCUGAGGCGCGAAAGCGUGGGGAGC
rnacentral:rRNA from 1 species